rnacentral:piRNA from 1 species
GGGGUUUUUUGGUUUUGUUUUUCUCAAGAC